rnacentral:tRNA from 1 species
GCCCUCGUAGCUCAGGGGAGAGAGCGCCGGCCUCCGGAGCCGGGAGCGCAGGUUCGAAUCCUGCCGGGGGCG